AAAUAUCGAUACUCAGCAGAACAGCAUAGAAACGUUCUUGCCGAAUGUCUAGCCCCCUGCAUUUGCUGUCAAGAACGCGAUCGUGAUAAUAAAACAGUGACUUGGAAUUCAGACAGUGGAAAUUUUUUACUGGAGUAUUGUUACAAGACAGUUAUUAAAUGAGAUAUUUGAAGUCCAAUAGUUUUGAGUUCUAUGAACCUGAUCAAAUAGAGCACGCAGAUGUUGUGGAGCAUUUGAUUUCUGUUACCAGAGACAGCACAACGAAAGCUGGGGGAGAGGCAUGGAGCUGUGCAUGGUCCUCUGACAAUUCCUAUUUUG
rnacentral:sRNA from 1 species